UGCCAUGAGGCCAGGAGAUCGUUGGGGAGAGCAUGAGGAGUGAAGGGAAAGGGGCCCCUGCGCAUGCUGUGACAGUUAGUCCCCCACAAACGGUACCUGUGAGAGACGCAGCAUCCCGGCGGGCAGCUCCAGUGACAGAGCAGAGAGCAGGGUACGGAGACGCUGGCAGAGAGGUAGUCUCGGUGACAGUGAGGCUGGAGAACGCUGCAGGCAGACAAAUAGCCCCUGGCGGAGAGGCAGUCCCGGUGACGGCGAGGUUGGACAGCCAGAGAGCUGUGCAGUAGAGGCGCAGGCAACCAGAGUAAGAGGGAGAACGGUGAGGAGUUAGAUCCUGUCAGUGCUGAGGACUCACUGAUUGGUACAAGAACUACAACAAGAGGUACCUACACUAUCUGUCUUACAAUAAUCAGACAGAGGGGGUGGAGAGGCAGAGCGUAGAGGAACAAGAGGAACAGGAGGAUUCGGGGGAGCUACCAGAGCAGGAAAACAACCUCAAACAUACAGCUAAUUAAGAACUAUCUUCAGGGUGAAGAAGACCAAGAGGUCCUGCAAGUGAUGAUAUGGCCCCAGCAGUGUCCUGAUCUCAACAUCAUCGAGUCUGUCUGUGAUUACAAGAAGAGACAGAAGGAUUUGAGCAAUCCUACAUCCACAGAAGAGCUAUGGACUUGGCCUGCAAGCAUUUGUGAAGUAUGCAUUUGUUAAGGAUGUUUUUUAAGGAUGCAGUUAGAACCGGAACUGAAACCCAUCUCUCCUUUCUUCACAGGAUGAAGUUAGAACCGGAGUUUGAACGGGAUUUGGACGUUGGACAACACUAGAAUCUCUAAUUAAAUUUAGUUCCACAAACACUGCAACUCAGGAUCAUUCAUUAUAUGUCCUCUCCUCACUUCUGCCAUGAGAACACCAGGACCAAUGCCUGCUACCCCUCCGUCCAAGAACAUCAUGACUGCCCCCGGACCUACCCCUCAAGCUGAGCAGGGAACUGAGGGGAGCGAGCAUCAGGACCAGGCCCAGCAGCAGGGUCAUUUCCAUUGCACAUUAGUGUGCUCCCCACAUUCUCAUACUCACCCGCACUGCUCCCAUGAGACCAGGUCAUUUAUAAAUUUCUCAAAAUAAUGUUAUUACAGUUUUUCUCCAUCUGUUGAUUCCUGCAAAUGUGUUUUCUCUUCUUUUUCUUCUUACAGCAUACUUCCACCCCACUGUAUGCUAUUCCUGUAAUGUUUACCUCCACUGAUUGCACACCCUUCCAGCAGCAACCUGUGCAGUGCGCCCCACAUGGCUUCCUCGGAUGGUGUCUCCGUGGGCAGGGUGUGCUUCAUUUGGAUCUUUCCGUGCAGGGUAUAGCAUACUACUAAACACGUGUCAGUUUGCCCAUACAUGCAUUUAGCCCUUGUAUGGUUCAUAUCCCACAGUGUAACCUUCGUAGUGCGCCCAACAUGGCAGCUUCAUCUGGUGCACUUGUGGAUGGGAUGAAAAUUAUAUGGACCUGAUGGUUUUGUUGGAACCCUACUCUGAACUUUAGGACUCUGCAAUUUCCCCAUUUUGUGUUAUCUCUUCUAGGGGUAGACUAUUCCACCCUGGGUAAUCCUACACAGUGCGCCCAAGAUGGCUGCAGCACCUGGCACCUUGUGAGGGUGGAAUACACAACCCUUGGAAGUUAUUACCCAAAAUGCCUACACCAAUCAUGCAUUAUGCUUACUGUGUGCUCAAGGUUUUCUUUUGUCUGUGUGGCUUAUCUAUUGCUGUAUUACUUAAAUCUUUUGUAUUAUGUGCAUUGUUUUUGAUGUCUGUAAAGCACCUUGAGUCCUGU